rnacentral:rRNA from 1 species
GUAAUGUCUGGGAAACUGCCUGAUGGAGGGGGAUAACUACUGGAAACGGUGGCUAAUACCGCAUAACGUCGCAAGACCAAAGAGGGGGACCUUCGGGCCUCUUGCCAUCAGAUGUGCCCAGAUGGGAUUAGCUAGUUGGUGAGGUAACGGCUCACCAAGGCGACGAUCCCUAGCUGGUCUGAGAGGAUGACCAGCCACACUGGAACUGAGACACGGUCCAGACUCCUACGGGAGGCAGCAGUGGGGAAUAUUGCACAAUGGGCGCAAGCCUGAUGCAGCCAUGC